GUGGGUUGCAGCUUAACCUUCGGGAGGGCGCUUACCACUUUGUGAUUCAUGACUGGGGUGAAGUCGUAACAAGGUAACCGUAGGGGAACCUGCGGUUGGAUCACCUCCUUACCUUAAAGAA
rnacentral:rRNA from 1 species